GUGAAUCAUCGAAUUUUUGAACGCAAAUUGCACUCUCUGGUAUUCCGGAGAGUAUGCCUGUUUGAGGGUCAGUUUAAAUAAAAAUCGGUGUGGUUGCUGCCUUUCGUGGUGACGCACCGGAUUUGGGUCGUCGUGCCUUCGGUUAAGUGACCUCAAAUGUUGCAUGCUAUUUUUCGAACUUAUUUAAAUGAUUUUACGGACGAGUGCGAUAGCGGAUACUAGGUGCGGUCAUCCU
rnacentral:misc_RNA from 1 species